rnacentral:rRNA from 1 species
UACGUAGGGGGCAAGCGUUGUCCGGAAUCAUUGGGCGUAAAGCGCGCGUAGGCGGCCCGGUAAGUCCGCUGUGAAAGUCAAAGGCUCAACCUUUGAAUGUCAGCGGAUACUGCCGGGCUAGAGUCCGGAAGAGGCGAGUGGAACUCCUGGUGUAGCGGUGGAAUGCGCAGAUAUCAGGAGGAACACCGGUGGCGAAGGCGGGUCUCUGGGCAGUAACUGACGCUGAGGAGCGAAAGCGUGGGGAGCGAACAGG